rnacentral:tRNA from 1 species
GCCUGGCUGGCUCAGUCGGAAGAGUGUGUGACUCUUGAUCUCAGGGUCAUGGGUUCAAGCCUCAUAUUGGGUG